rnacentral:lncRNA from 1 species
AGGUCUGUGUUAUCAGCAUUUUGUGAUUAUUUCAUUUACUUUUCAUAGCAACCCUGUAAAGUAAGUACUGUCUUUCCAUUUUAUAGAUGUGGAAACUGAGGCAUAGAAAGUCAAGUAACCUGCUCAAUGUCACAAUGAGCUAAAGCCAGGAUUUGAACUCAGACGGUUUGACUUCAGGGUCUACACAAUUUGCCACCGUUAUCCUCACUUUUGUUAAUAGUUAUACAUCAACUGGCCGAAGUAAAGCAAACAGACAAGACUGAACCUACAGGAUAAAAAAGAGGAGCUGCUGGUUCAGCUACAAGCAGAUGAAUGGAACUCAACGGAAAGUCAGAUGCAGAGCCUUGUAUUUGGGGGAAUUUAAUAGAAGAUAGUUCCACAUUAACGGAGGAGAAGAUCGAUUAUUAACAGAAGGGGCUGGGAAACCAGCUCACUGUGUGAAGAACUGUACAUCAAGCAAAUACAAGGAUGGAUUCAAGUGGAUUAUUCAGGCAUGAGGGGUGCCUGGAAGGAUGCCACAUGCAAGGCAGUGUGAGUGUCAGAGUUGAGAUCGUUGACAUGACACUGAAGGAAAGAACAUGCAGAAGAAUUGGAGGGCUUUGCACGAUUUCUUCCACCUCUGUGGCCCCACAGAAUGCAAAUAUAAACAGUGCUAUUAAUAAAGCAACUUGCACCUGAGCUCUUUCCUAUAAUCCACUUGUUAUCAUUCUACCUUUGAAGACAUUUGUUUUUCACGUCGUUGCUUCUCAGUCUGAGGACUUCUCGCCUCUUAUUCUCCUGUCUUGGUAACUUGGUCACAGUGUGGACAGUCACAGCACCAGGCUUGCCCACACUUCUGCAUCUGGCUGGCAAUUGGGCCCUCCAAUCCUGCCAAUCCAUCCACACCUGUGAACAUGUUUGGCUACCCAAGCCCCUAAGGCCUUCAGUAGUCUGACCUUGAGACUUCAUCCUGCUUUGAACCUUGCUCCCCAACUUCUUCCCAGAGUUGUCAUUUUUGACUGCUUGUUUUAUCUUUUGCUUUCAGCUCCACACUUACUCCCUGGAAACCGGCAGCUGUUAAAAUUUCCCUAGCCAUUUUCAGAGGAGAAAAAUGAAGUACAGAGUGAUUAAGUAAUUUAUUAAGGUCACACAACUAGUAAAUGAAGGAGUCCCGAUUGGACCCACCCCUGGCUGACUCCAGGUCCAUGACCUUUGUACUAUACUACCCUUCUCAAAGCAGAAGUUCCUUCUUCCACUUGUAUUCAGGGAGAUUAUAUCCAAAAAAUGUAUCUAAUGGCUUCUCUUCAAGUUCAUGAAGUAGGGAGCCAGAGCUGGACUUGUGUUUGAUAGAGUUGCUAAGCCUAGAUGAAGAGCUGCCAGGAGUGAGGAGAGGCCGGGGUAUGUUUUCUUCUUUUCAUUGCAGCCAAUUAUUCCUUUGGAGUGUACAGAACUAGAAGGGAGUGGUGUGAUUUCAAUGAAAAUAUACUAUCAAUGCUAUCCAUGCAUUACAAGAUAAUAUGAGAAGGAAAUCCUGUAAAAGAUAGUGUUAAAAUCUUUGAGCAAGGCCUGCUCUUCCAGUAGAGUCUUCUCCUCUUGUGUCUGGACACUGGGUUUAGCUGAAAGUAACUCACCUGCAGAGAAACAUAGAGACAGCUGAAUGCAGCCUGCUGCUUUCAACCUAACCCUUGCUUUGCUGCCAUAAAGCUCUUUUCUGUCUUAUUUCAGUGUCUCACUUCUGUUUCUAGUUGCGAAUGCUGAAUAAACGCCUGCCAGAAUGUGUGCUACCCCA